UACAGAGGUCUCAAGCGUUGUUCGGAUUCAUUGGGCGUAAAGGGUGUGUAGGUGGCGCCGUAAGUCGGGUGUGAAAUUUCGGAGCUUAACUCCGAAACUGCAUUCGAUACUGCGGUGCUUGAGGACUGGAGAGGAGACUGGAAUUCAUGGUGUAGCAGUGAAAUGCGUAGAGAUCAUGAGGAAGACCAAUGGCGAAGGCGGGUCUCUGGACAGUUCCUGACACUGAGACACGAAGGCCAGGGGAGCAAACGGG
rnacentral:rRNA from 1 species